UAGGGCACACAGCUCCCCGCCCCUCUUCUGCCCUUCAUCCUUCUUUCAAUCAGCAGGGACCGUGCACUCUCUGGGAGCCAACACAGAAAACAGAGGUGCAUCCAGCACCACAGAAAACAGAGCCACCACAGAAAACAGAGGGGUGACUGUCAUCCCCUCCAGUCUCUGCACACUCCCAGCUGCAGCAGAGCAGGAGGAGAGAGCACAGCCUGCAAUGCUAAUUUGCCAGGAGCUCACCUGCCUGCGUCACUGGGCACAGACGCCAGUGAGGCCAGAAGCCGGGCUGUGCUGGGGCCUGAGCUGGGUGGUGGGGAGAGAGUCUCUCCCCUGCCCCUGUCUCUUCCGUGCAGGAGGAGCAUGUUUAAGGGGAAGGGUUCAAAGCUGGUCACAUCCCCACCAAAAAAGCCCAUGGACAACGAAAAGCCCACUAACUUGUCCAGUGCCACAGGAGGGGCAAGUGGAGGAGGAGAGGUGGCGGUGCUCCCCACUCCACUGCCAGUCGUCACUGGCUCUCCCUUCCCUUCAUCCUCAUUCCCUAUCUGUCACCAUUUCCUGUCGUCGUUUCCUCUGAAUGUCUCACCCUGCCCUCCCUGCUUGCAAGUCCCCUGUCUGUAGCCUCACCCCUGUCACAUCCUGACUACAAUAACAGCUUCUGGGUGUCCCCGGCAUCCACUCUCUCUCCCUUCUUAUCCCUUCCGUGACGGAUGCCUGAGGAACCUUCCCCAAACUCUUCUGUCCCAUCCCUGCCCUGCUCAAAAUCCAAUCACAGCUCCCUAACACUCCUGAAUCAACGUGAAGUCCUGUCUUGAGUAAUCCGUGGGCCCUAACUCACUCAUCCCAACUCUUCACUCACUGCCUUGCCCCACACCCUGCCAGGGAGCCUCCCGUGGCACCGUGGGGACACAAAGGAACCAGGGCAAAGCUCCCUCAGCCCCAUUCAAAGAGGCCUGGCCCACAGGCUCACGGAAAGUCAGCCUCUCAUGCCCCGAGAGCUGAGUGCAAGGGAGAGGCAGCGCUGUCUGUGCUUCCCAUGCAGAAGCACCCCCCUCCCACCCCUGUGCAGGCCGGCCUUCGCGGCAGACCACCAUACACCACGUUCCAAGCCACACUGAGGCCUCCCUCCAAGCCUGCGGCCCCCAUUUCCAGACCCCACCAGGGCAACCUGCAUAUCCACCUCCCUACCCUGCCCCCCUCUUCCAGGAGUCUGCCCUGUGUGGAGUAAGCACGUGGUUUUCCUCUUCAGCAACUAUUUCCUUUUUACUCAAGCAAUGGCCCCAUUUCCCUUGGGGAAUCCAUCUCUCUCGCAGGCUUAGUCCCAGAGCUUCAGGUGGGGCUGCCCACAGAGCUCCUCAGUCUAAGCCAAGUGGUUGUGUCAUAGUCCCCUGGCCCCAGUAAUGGAUUCUGGGAUAGACAUGAGGACCAAGCCAGGUGGGAUGGGUGAGUGUGGCUUCUGGAGGAAGUGGGGACACAGGAGAGCAUUCUUUCCUGCUGGACCUGACCCUGUGUCAUGUCACCUUGCUACCACGACAGCAUGGCCUGUCUGGGAAUGCAGCCAGACCCAAAGAAGCAAACUGACAUGGAAGGAAAGCAAAACCAGGCCCUGAGGACAUCAUUUUAGCCCUUACUCCGAAGGCUGCUCUACUGAUUGGUUAAUUUCUGCUUAGCUUGGUCUGGGGAGUUCUGACAGGCGUGCCACCAAUUCUUACCGAUUUCUCUCCACUCUAGACCCUGAGAAGCCCACGCGGUUCAUGCUAGCAAUUAACAAUCAAUCUCGCCCUAUGUGUUCCCAUUCCAGCCUCUAGGACACAGUGGCAGCCACAUAAUUGGUAUCUCUUAAGGGAAUGGUUUUGGCCUCCAUUCUAAGUGCUGGACAUGGGGUGGCCAUAAUCUGGAGCUGAUGGCUCUUAAAGACCUG
rnacentral:lncRNA from 1 species